rnacentral:rRNA from 1 species
CUACAUGGAUAACCGUGGUAAUUCUAGAGCUAAUACAUGCCAAAAACCCCGACUCACGGAGGGGUGUAUUUAUUAGAUAAAAAACCGACGCCCUUCGGGGCUCACCGGUGAUUCAUGAUAACUUCACGAAUCGCAUGGCCUUGCGCCGGCGAUGGUUCAUUCAAAUUUCUGCCCUAUCAACUUUCGAUGGUAGGAUAGUGGCCUACCAUGGUGUCGACGGGUGACGGGGAAUUAGGGUUCGAUUCCGGAGAGGGAGCCUGAGAAACGGCUACCACAUCCAAGGAAGGCAGCAGGCGCGCAAAUUACCCAAUCCCGACACGGGGAGGUAGUAAGUUUUUGACCCCACCUUUUUUUUCUCUCUUCUUCUUCUCUCUCUCUCCCCCUCCGAUCCGUAUGCUAACGUUCUCUUUCUUUCCCCCAGGUGACAAUAAAUACCGAUGCAGGGCUCUUAUGGGUCUUGUAAUUGGAAUGAGUACAAUUUAAAUCCCUUAACGAGGAACAAUUGGAGGGCAAGUCUGGUGCCAGCAGCCGCGGUAAUUCCAGCUCCAAUAGCGUAUAUUAAAGUUGUUGCAGUUAAAAAGCUCGUAGUUGAACCUUGGGCCUGGCUGGCCGGUCCGCCUCACCGCGUGCACUGGUCCGGCCGGGCCUUUCCUUCUGGGGAUCCGCAUGCCCUUCACUGGGCGUGUCGGGGAACCAGGACUUUUACUUUGAAAAAAUUAGAGUGUUCAAAGCAGGCCUUUGCUCGAAUACAUUAGCAUGGAAUAAUAGAAUAGGACGAGCGGUUCUAUUUUGUUGGUUUCUAGGACCGCCGUAAUGAUUAAUAGGGAUAGUCGGGGGCAUCGGUAUUCAAUUGUCAGAGGUGAAAUUCUUGGAUUUAUUGAAGACCAACUACUGCGAAAGCAUUUGCCAAGGAUGUUUUCAUUAAUCAGUGAACGAAAGUUAGGGGAUCGAAGACGAUCAGAUACCGUCGUAGUCUUAACCAUAAACCAUGCCGACUAGGGAUCGGGCGACGUUUCCAUU